UUAAGCAUAUCAAUAAGCGGAGGAAAAGAAACCAACAGGGAUUGCCCCAGUAAUGGCGAAUGAAGCGGCAAGAGCCCAAAUUUGAAAUCGGGCAACCGAGUUGUAAUUUGGAGACGGGACACUAGAGAGGAGGAAGGCGAUUAAGUGCCUUGGAACAGGCUGCCGUAGAGGGUGAGAGCCCCGUGAAUCGCUGGAGACCGAUCAAUUAGUGCCCGCCGAAGAGUCGAGUUGUUUGGGAAUGCAGCUCUAAGUGGGUGGUAUAUUCCAUCUAAGGCUAAAUAUUAGCGAGAGACCGAUAGCAAACAAGUACAGUGAUGGAAAGAUGAAAAGAACUUUGGAAAGAGAGUGAAAUAGUACGUGAAAUUGUUGAAAGGGAAGGGUAUUUGAUCCGACAUGGUGUUUAGCAGCGGCCCGUUCCUCGUGGAUGGGUGCACCUGGUUUACACUGGGCCAGCAUCGGUUCUGGGAGCCAUAUACGGGGUUCGUGAAUGUGGCCCUUCGAUUCUGUCGGAGGGUGUUAUAGCGCGGACAUCUUGUGGCUAGCCGGGACCGGGGACUGCGGUGACUUGUCACCAAGGAUGCUGGCAGAACGAGCAAAUACCACCCGUCUUG
rnacentral:rRNA from 1 species